UACGAACUGUGCGAACGUUAUUCGGAAUCACUGGGCUUAAAGGGUGCGUAGGCGGUUAUCUAAGUCAGGGGUGAAAUCUCUCGGCUCAACCGGGAAACUGCGCUUGAAACUGGGUGACUGGAGGGAUGCAGGGGUGUGUGGAACUUCCGGUGGAGCGGUGAAAUGUGUAGAUAUCGGAAGGAACGCCAGCAGCGAAAGCGGCACACUGGGCAUCUACUGACGCUGAGGCACGAAAGCUAGGGGAGUGAACGGG
rnacentral:rRNA from 1 species